UAUGAUGGGACCCUUAAUUAAUUUCAAUCUCACACUACACAUUUUUUAGUUAAAAGAAGCUAAUUUGUAGUAGUACUAUCUCUAAAUGUAUCACCUAUUUUUUUAAAACGUGGUAUCCCAACUUAAACUAAAGGAUAUAGAUAAAAACGUCUUAGAAAAUAAAAAAGAUUACUGUUUAGCGAAUCAUUAGAGCCUCAGCAAUAGAUACUGUAGAUUUACGACCAUUACUCAUACUAUAUGUAUAAUCAAUUAUAUUCUACGUAAUGUCCUUAAACCCAUGUAGAUUCAAAUUUGUCAACAAUUCACUAUUCCACCCCAUCGCAACUCCGUCUCCUAAAAGUUUCUAUUAAGAUAUAUUUUGGUGAUAUUUGGUAGAGGAUAUAAGGACAGUAGUAUUUUAUUUUAAAUUCAAUUUGUGAUUGAAGAAGUGAUUCAUUAGAUUUUAUCAAUACCCUUCCUCAAAUAUUUCAAUGUGUAUCUGCGAGAUGUUAGAAUAUUUUUCUGAUCGGUUGGACUAGUAGCCCAAAUUUAAAUUUCAUAUAUAUUGUUGGGGUAGUCAUUUUUUUUAUUUUGGUCAAGAUUUUUGGCCACAUUCAUCGACCCUAUCUAAUACCAUUUUAUAAUUCAAUAGGGUACCAUUCUAAAACCAAUUGGUCAUAUGAGGAGUGACCCAUUAGAGUUCCAGUUCUUUCUUUAUACCGAUGUGUAAUAUUGUUAUACUCUCUCCGUCCUACUGCAAGUGAUCAACUAUCCAAUUUAGGUUGUCCCAAUGCAACUGAUUGAUUUUUUUUCGGCAAAAUGCAACACAUUUUAACUUAAAAAAUGUUUGCCUUAAAUUCCGUGCCCAAAAAUAUUGAUCACUUGCAACGAAAUGAAGAAAGUAUUUAUUUAUGUUUCAAUUGCCAACAAAGUUUUCAAAAAAAAUUGUCUAAUAUAUGAACAUUAUAAUAUACUCCCUAUUUAUCAUUAUUUCAGUUAUUUUGCAAGUCGACGGUUUGACCUGUUCUGAUUUGUACUUUCUCCGUUCCUUCACAGUUGAGUAAUUUUUCCAUCUCAAGAAGUUCUUUCAUAGUUGAGUCAUUUCCAUAUAUAAAAUUAACUCAUUUUUUCUUUCCUCCUCCAUUCUAUCUCUUACUUUAUUUUUGUUAACUUUAUUCAUUUUAUAGUACUUUUUUUCUUUCUCUUACUUUGUCUACUUUAUUACCUACCCACUUAACAUACUAAACAUUCAUUUCUUAAACUCCAUGCCAAAAAGAAGUUCCUCAACUAUGAAGAAGCGGAGGGAGUCAUAUUUUAAUUGUGGGCAUUUCAGCGAGUGGAAGAAAGUAAGAUUGACAGAUAAGACAUAGUUGUAAGAUCUGAUAAUGGCGUAUAAUCCAAAUUACAAUUUGCAAGUCAUAAAUAUAUAUAGUUAGUAACUCUAGUAAUUUAUGAUAUUAGAAAUUGUACACAUUACAAAUUAUUUAUAUACUAAAUCCUCCAUAGUAAAUAUUGCACAUUAAAGGAAACGUUUGUGUUUCUAACGAUUAUACUAAGUCAAAGUAGUUCUCUGGAAAUGAUCAAUGUUUUGAGUUACAGUGAGCUAUUCAAUAAUACAUACUAUUAAUUACUGAAAGUAAUCAUGUAUAGGUGAGUGUGAAAAUGGGAAAAGUCGAGUGCAGGCUGGCGCCGUGGAUUAUCUAGAGCUUGGAUUCGGACAGUCAGUGAUUUGUGCUGCUAAAUAUCCAUAUCCAUAUCCAGCUGAUGAAUGCUACGGCGUCUACUCAUCCUAUAAUGGGCCUGUUGCGGUAAUUGUGUUUGAUCAUUAAUUAUAAAAUAAAAUAAUUGUGUCGAUAAAUGUAGCAGUAGUAAAGAUUUAUUUCAGGGGCGAAUGAUACUGGCGAUGAACGGAGGCCCAAUCUUGGUGAACGCAAAGCAGUACAACGCAAUCAUGAGGCGCAGGAAGAAGCGUGCCCACGCUCUCAAUGUCAACAUCCGUAAGCCGUAUCUGCACCUUUCGCGUCACCUCCACGCAAAGCGGCGGCCGAGGGGCAUUGGGGGCCGCUUCCUCAACACCAAGAGCUCGGGCAGCAGCCCCGGAUCAGAUAUGAGCAGCGAUCACGAGGUGGGAAAUGAUUCGGCGGCGCUCCACCUCUUUCAGGCCUUCCACCUCAAGGUCUGAUGUGAUGACGAUGGUGAAGUCAUCACCUGGGCAAUUCAUCCUUGGCUAUCUCAACAUUGUUUAAUUCAUCUUUAAUUAUGUACUUAAGUAAUUAGGGCUGUGCAUUUUCUCAUUAGUUGAGAAAUGAGAAUGCCAAUUGCUCCUAAUUGAUCUUCUUUAGUGUUGCAAAAAUAACAGACUCGUCGAGUCGAGUCUUAGUCCAGUCUUUUAUGGUGUUGCUUGUAGUAUAAGUGUGUGCUUUGCUGAAUCUCUGUAACAUAUAUGCUUGAUCUAUUUUAUUAUUCUAUGUAAUGUAAUUAUUCAA